CACGUAGGGGCCAAGCGUUGUCCGGAUUUAUUGGGCGUAAAGAGCUCGUAGGCGGUUCGACAAGUCGGGUGUGAAAACUCCGGGCUCAACCCGGAGACGCCACCCGAUACUGUCGUGACUGGAGUCCGGUAGGGGAGUGGGGAAUUCCUGGUGUAGCGGUGGAAUGCGCAGAUAUCAGGAAGAACACCCGUGGCUAAGGCGGCUCUCUAGUACGGUACUGACGCUGAGACGCGAAAGCGUGGGGAGCGAACAGG
rnacentral:rRNA from 1 species